rnacentral:rRNA from 1 species
UACGUAGGGUGCGAGCGUUAAUCGGAAUUACUGGGCGUAAAGCGUGCGCAGGCGGUUAUUUAAGUCAGGUGUGAAAGCCCUGGGCUUAACCUAGGAAUUGCGCUUGAGACUGGAUAGCUUGGAGUGCGGCAGAGGGAGGUGGAAUUCCACGUGUAGCAGUGAAAUGCGUAGAGAUGUGGAGGAACACCGGUGGCGAAGGCGGCAUCCUGGACCGACACUGACGCUGAGGAGCGAAAGCCAGGGGAGCAAACGGG